UACGUAGGGUGCAAGCGUUAAUCGGAAUUACUGGGCGUAAAGCGUGCGCAGGCGGUUGUGCAAGACCGAUGUGAAAUCCCCGGGCUUAACCUGGGAAUGGCAUUGGUGACUGCACGGCUAGAGUGUGUCAGAGGGGGGUAGAAUUCCACGUGUAGCAGUGAAAUGCGUAGAGAUGCGGAGGAACACCGAUGGCGAAGGCAGCCCCCUGGGCUGACACUGACGCUCAGGCACGAAAGCGUGGGGGAGCAAACAGG
rnacentral:rRNA from 1 species